CCUGUCCCCACACCUACCCACAGCCCCCACCCAAACGCCUGUCCUCACACCUACCCACAGCCCCCACCCAAACGCCUGUCCUCACACCUACCCACAGCCCCCACCCAAACGCCUGUCCUCACUCCUACCGAUGGACAACUUCUACUUGAAGAGUCACUUUCAGCAUCGUAAGUCCCACCCUCACAGUUAAAAAGAACCGCCCCCACCCCCAGACAGACAACCAAUGGAAUAAGAGAAAGAAAAAGCAUGCAGGUGAUUGGAUGGAUACAGGAUUUUGCUUUUACACAACGGACCAAACUCUAACCAACCUGAAGCGGAUUGAUGUCUUAUCAAUAACGUACUGUAACCACCUUGUCUGAUGAGGACAAUGAUAUGUUGAGUGAUAUGAUUGAUGUAUAUUUAGUCAAUGAUAUGUUGAGUGAUAUGAUUGAUGUAUAUUUAGUCAAUGAUAUGUUGAGUGAUAUGAUGUAUAUUUAGUCAAUGAUAUGUUGAGUGAUAUGAUUGAUUUAUAUUUAGUCAAUGAUAUGUUGAGUGAUAUGAUUGAUGUAUAUUUAGUCAAUGAAGCGCAGGUGAUAUGUAUGUUUGUGUGUGUAUGUCUGUGUUCGAGUGUGUGAACACGUGCUUGUGUGUGUGUGUGUGUGCGUGCUUAAUAGUGUGAGCGCAUGCCUGCGUGUGUUGAGAGCACAGCGCCACAGACUGACGUGAUAUAGAGACAUCGAUCGUAGUUAAUACCACAGACUGAUGUGAUAUAGAGACAUCGAUCGUAGUUAAUACCACAGACAGACUGAUGUGAUAUAGAGACAUCGAUCGUAGUUAAUACCACAGACUGAUGUGAUAUAGAGACAUCGAUCGUAGUUAAUACCACAGACUGAUGUGAUAUAGAGACAUCGAUCGUAGUUAAUACCACAGACUGACGUGAUAUAGAGACAUCGAUCGUAGUUAAUACCACAGACUGAUGUGAUAUAGAGACAUCGAUCGUAGUUAAUACCACAGACUGAUGUGAUAUAGAGACAUCGAUCGUAGUUAAUACCACAGACUGAUGUGAUAUAGAGACAUCGAUCGUAGUUAAUACCACAGACAGACUGACGUGAUAUAGAGACAUCGAUCGUAGUUAAUACCACAGACUGAUGUGAUAUAGAGACAUCGAUCGUGGUUAGUGACAAUGACAGACAAUGAUAUUUACAUAUAAACUUUUGAAAAUGCUAAAUACACAUCCUCCUGUUGGGAGUAUUACCAGUAUCAUCAUUCACCAACCAGCCUGGAACAUUGACACAUUAUUGAUUAUCAAUAUCACUAAUCACUUUAGUACAGUGUAAAGGAGCAGACCAGACAACUAGCCACUAUCCCUGUGUUGGCAUACAGCAUCAGGGUCCUAUUCAUUAAGACACGCAAUGGACAAUGUUGGAAAAUGUUUUGCAAUGGAAAACCACAUAUGAGCAUUUCUUACAGGACAAGGCCAGAUAGUUCCUCUCCUCGUUUCCCUUUUCUUCAUUUGCUGCUUUAAUGAAUACGACCCAGGGAUGUAGGAGGGCAAACGCUCGUAAACUGUUGUUUAAACACCCCUUUACUUUGUUUAAACACCCAUUUACUUUGUUUAAACACCCAUUUACUUGGUGAACACUGUUGUUGUUUAAACACCCAUUUACUUGGUGAACACUGUUGUUGUUUAAACACCCAUUUACUUGGUGAACACUGUUGUUGUUUAAACACCCAUUUACUUGGUGAACACUGUUGUUGUUUAAACACCCAUUUACUUGGUGAACACUGUUGUUGUUUAAACACCCAUUUACUUGGUGAACACUGUUGUUGUUUAAACACCCAUUUACUUGGUGAACACUGUUGUUGUUUAAACACCCAUUUACUUGGUGAACACUGUUGUUGUUUAAACACCCAUUUACUUUGUGAACAAUGUUGUUGUUUAAACACCCAUUUACUUGGUGAACACUGUUGUUGUUUAAACACCCCUUUACUUUGUUUAAACACCCAUUUACCUUGUUUAAACACCCAUUUACUUGGUGAACACUGUUGUUGUUUAAACACCCAUUUACUUGGUGAACACUGU
ensembl:lncRNA